rnacentral:rRNA from 1 species
UACGGAGGGUGCAAACGUUGCUCGGAAUCAUUGGGCGUAAAGCGCACGUAGGCGGUCUUAUAAGUCGGGAGUGAAAGCCCUGGGCUCAACCCAGGAAGUGCUCUCGAAACUGCAAGGCUUGAGUAUGGAAGAGGGUCGCGGAAUUCCCGGUGUGGAGGUGAAAUUCGUAGAUAUCGGGAGGAACACCAGUGGCGAAGGCGGCGACCUGGGCCAAUACUGACGCUGAGGUGCGAAAGCGUGGGGAGCAAACAGG